rnacentral:rRNA from 1 species
UUGGCAUUCCCAACAAGCGGAGGAAAAGAAACCAACCGGGAUUACCUCAGUAACGGCGAGUGAAGCGGUAACAGCUCAAAUUUGAAAUCUGGCUCUUCCGGAGUCCGAGUUGUAAUUUGUAGAAGAUGCUUUGGGAGGUAGGGCCGGCCUAAGUUCCUUGGAACAGGACAUCAGAGAGGGUGAGAAUCCCGUAUGUGGCCGUGGCCUACGCCCGUGUAAAGCUCUUUCGACGAGUCGAGUUGUUUGGGAAUGCAGCUCAAAAUGGGUGGUAAAUUUCAUCUAAAGCUAAAUAUUGGCCAGAGACCGAUAGCGCACAAGUAGAGUGAUCGAAAGAUGAAAAGCACUUUGGAAAGAGAGUUAAACAGUACGUGAAAUUGUUGAAAGGGAAGCGCUUGCAACCAGACUUGGGCGUCGUCGAUCAUCCGGGGUUCUCCUCGGUGCACUCGACGAGGCACAGGCCAGCAUCGGUUUGGAUGGUUGGAGAAAGGCCCUAGGAACGUAGCUCUCUUCGGGGAGUGUUAUAGCCUAGAGCGCAAUGCAGCCCAUCCGGACCGAGGACCGCGCCUUUGGCUAGGAUGCUGGCGUAAUGGUUGCAAGCGACCCGUCUUGAAAAUCGGAACCA